rnacentral:rRNA from 1 species
GUAGGGAAUAUUGGGCAAUGGUCGGAAGACUGACCCAGCCAUGCCGCGUGCAGGAAGACGGCCCUCUGGGUCGUAAACUGCUUUUAUCUGGGAAGAAAAAGGCCAUGCGUGGCAAAUUGCCGGUACCAGAUGAAUAAGCACCGGCUAACUCCGUGCCAGCAGCCGCGGUAAUACGGAGGGUGCGAGCGUUGUCCGGAUUUAUUGGGUUUAAAGGGUGCGUAGGCGGCUGAUUAAGUCAGCGGUGAAAGACUUCGGCUUAACCGGAGCAGUGCCGUUGAUACUGGUUGGCUUGAGUGUCGGAGGGGUACAUGGAAUUGAUGGUGUAGCGGUGAAAUGCAUAGAUACCAUCAGGAACACCGAUAGCGAAGGCAUUGUACUGGCCGACAACUGACGCUGAUGCACGAAAGUGUGGGGAUCGAACAGGAUUAGAAACCCUGGUAGUCC